rnacentral:rRNA from 1 species
AGAGAGAGACAUGCGCGCAUAUCAAUAAGCGGAGGAAAAGAAACUAACAAGGAUUCCCUUAGUAACGGCGAGUGAAGCGGGAAGAGCUCAAAUUUGAAAUCUUCAAGGUUUUACCUUGACGAAUUGUAGUUUAAAGAAGUGUUUUCUGCUGAAGUUUUGGUAAAAGUUCUUUGGAAUAGGACAUCAUAGAGGGUGAGAAUCCCGUAUUUGACCAUUAUUUUCAGCUUUGCGAUACACUUUCAAAGAGUCGGAUUGUUUGGGAAUGCAGUCCAAAAUGGGAGGUAAAUUUCAUCUAAAGCUAAAUAUUGGCGAGAGACCGAUAGCGAACAAGUACCGUGAGGGAAAGAUGAAAAGAACUUUGAAAAGAGAGUUAAACAGUACGUGAAAUUGUCAAAAGGGAAGCGUUUGACACCAGUGUUGUUUUCUCGAAAAUCAAUUAAAAAUGGCUCGAUUUUGUAUUGCUUGAGACCUUAAAAGCUCACUGUACAUUUUUCGUGUCUUUUUUAAUGCACUUUUCGUUUAACAAGUCAACAUCAGUUUCUUUUGUUGUAAAAGGGUCAUUGGAAGGUGGCUUUCUUUUCGGAGAAAGUGUUUAUAGCCUUUGGCCUCUGCAAUCGGAGAGACUGAGGUCUGCAGCGUAGACUCUUCGGGGUUAGAUACAUUUGUGCUAAGUUAUAGCUUUUUAUAGACAACUUGUUGACUAUAAUUAGUCUUGUAGCUUACUCGCUUAUGCUAUUUUACCUACGCUUAGGAUGUUGAGUCGUAGAGCACGCAG